GUAACUGUCCUCCGCACUAGCUCCUGUCAUCUAUCUCGCUUUACUUUCCCUGUCAGAAACCUAAUAACCUCAAAAGUAAUAAUCACACUCAUGUGCCGCAAGGAAAACGCAGCAAGAACCGCACACCUGUAAGCGCUUUCUCGCUUAAUAAAUAAAAAUCUGACGAAGCGCAAGACGCGCGAUAGCGGACCGUCGCCCACCGGCAGCACCCUCCUGUCCCUGACCAUCUUCCACCUCCCUGCUAUGUCACCCUACUUGUUCCUUCAAUAAAGAAGUUUUUUCUGCAUCAAACAGUGUCCGAGGAGUAGUGUGGAUUGUCCUUUGGAACUGCAAGCCGAUGGUGCCUGGACUGGUAUCCUAUGCAGGAACCCAUAGUAGAAGUAAAGAGAAGAGAAAUGAAGGCACUGGAACAGGCGCUACUCGAAUGAAGAUGGUCCAAGAGGUGUUGAAUAUAAAAUUUGAUGUUUAUUUAUAUUAAAAUAAAUAAAACAUGAUACAUAAAAGCAAUAAUGAGUUUCAGGAAUAGCAUAUCCCUUCUUCAGAUUGCAAGUGUAGAGCAAGUGGCAGUAUUCACAUAUUUAAAUAAACAGAAAUGGCGCCAAAGAGAAAAAGGGUCAGGGGCGUGUUGACAUCGGUUUGUAUUUCAUAUGUACAUCGAUUUGUUACAUUGUGUAUACUUACAGGAAGAGCAACAAUGUAUUGGCAUGUGGAAAAUUAAACAAAGUUUGUUCGUGAAGACAAAGGGAAAUAAAAUGAUUUUGUGUGAGAAAACAGACUCUGUGGUUUUAUUUGAUAAGGAGGCUUGGAGCGCAUCUGGUUUCAAGAGUAGGGGAGGAGGAGACUGAAACUUUUUCUGAAUGGAAGUUGGGCGGUGGGAUAGCACUGUGGGCGGUGUUAUUAUUAGACCGCCGCAGUAUAGUAGAGUUUCCCAGGAUGGUGGUCAUGUGGUAAGGAUUAUCCAAUAGGGUUCUUUUC